rnacentral:rRNA from 2 species
GACAGUGCGGGGUUGCCUAUACAUGCAGUCGAACGAACUCUGGUAUUGAUUGGUGCUUGCAUCAUGAUUUACAUUUGAGUGAGUGGCGAACUGGUGAGUAACACGUGGGAAACCUGCCCAGAAGCGGGGGAUAACACCUGGAAACAGAUGCUAAUACCGCAUAACAACUUGGACCGCAUGGUCCGAGUUUGAAAGAUGGCUUCGGCUAUCACUUUUGGAUGGUCCCGCGGCGUAUUAGCUAGAUGGUGAGGUAACGGCUCACCAUGGCAAUGAUACGUAGCCGACCUGAGAGGGUAAUCGGCCACAUUGGGACUGAGACACGGCCCAAACUCCUACGGGAGGCAGCAGUAGGGAAUCUUCCACAAUGGACGAAAGUCUGAUGGAGCAACGCCGCGUGAGUGAAGAAGGGUUUCGGCUCGUAAAACUCUGUUGUUAAAGAAGAACAUAUCUGAGAGUAACUGUUCAGGUAUUGACGGUAUUUAACCAGAAAGCCACGGCUAACUACGUGCCAGCAGCCGCGGUAAUACGUAGGUGGCAAGCGUUGUCCGGAUUUAUUGGGCGUAAAGCGAGCGCAGGCGGUUUUUUAAGUCUGAUGUGAAAGCCUUCGGCUCAACCGAAGAAGUGCAUCGGAAACUGGGAAACUUGAGUGCAGAAGAGGACAGUGGAAACUCCAUGUGUUGCGGGUGAAAUGCGUUAGAUAUAUGGAAAGAACACCAAGGGGCCGAAAGGCGGCCGGC